AACUCCUGUACUCAAGCAAUCCACCCACCUCGGCCUCCCACAGUGCUGGGAUUACAAGUGUGAGCCACCACGCCCAGCAAAGACUGGAUUCUUGUCACUGGAAUAUAGAUGAUUACACAGAGAAACAAGCACCAGGAGUGUUCGUUGAGUAUCAGAUAGUUUCCAGUUCUGCCACUUGUGACCUUGGAGUUCUGCAGUGACCUCAGACAACUCACUGAACCUCACUGAACCUCUCGUCUGUCCACAGCGCCAUGGCCUCUCCUUAUCGUAAGGACCUUCCAGCUCCAUGACUCCGUUCGUGGGGGAACUGGGAUAGGAGAGUGUGGGCUGUGCCUAUAUGAACAGGGCUACUACGCCAUUUGGGGGCUCAACAGUCGUUGCAGGUAAUUGAUAACGCUCAUCUCAAGGCUUAUUUACCUCUAGGACAUUAGGGAGAAAAUCUGCCCUUCGGAAAUUCACUGUCAGCUUGCAUGGGGUAGAAGCCCCAUCAGAGCUGAAGGCGGUUUGCUGAGCUGUAGGCUGGUGGGGGGGAGUUGUGAGGCAGUGACGGGGCAGGAAGAUCAGCAUUUGGGGGGUGGUUCUUAAUUAGGAUCCAUCUUGAUUGCAGGCUCCAGCUGUUUGUUUUCCCUGUUUAACUACCCCGAACAGCUCCUCAGCACGCACUGAUUAAUUGAUUAAUAAAUCAAGAGGCCUCUUUACACUGCAGCAGCAAGGGGUGGCUCAGGAGGGAGACACUCAAGACAGCCAGACACAAUGAUGGGAAGCAAUGGGAGGUUCAGGUUGAGCGAGUCUGGUUGAGGAAGUGAUGCAAACCAUAUGAGGCCUGUCUCGAGGCGUCCUCCUCGAUGACAGGGCCAGAGAGUCUCUAAUCACAACUCAGAGCGUGUAGCAGGACCUGAAACGGCCCCUUAGGGGCUGUUCCAGAACAGAGCGUCACCUCAGUUUACAGAAAAACAGGUCCCAGAGGGUUAAAAGCGUGGACUAUGCCUAGAUUUCUUGACCACCAGUUCAUGAUUUUUCACUUUAAGCCAAAGAGCCAUAUCCAUCAAUAGAUUCCUAUUUUCCCACGGACACAGAAGGGUUCCAGCCCCAUGUUUUCACUAGGAAAUGUUCAUUCAUUCAAACGGGAUUUAUUUGGGCCCC
rnacentral:lncRNA from 10 species